GCCCGAUGAUGAGACCAAGGCGAAUGCGAGCCAGUUGGCGGUGGGUGGCUUGGUGCGCUGUCUCCUGAUUGGCCAGUAAUCUUGGCAGGGCUGCGGAGAUUGGCUGUUCUGCUGUAAGGGCUGGCCGACAGUGAACAAGCUCCUCUCUCCCGGACUCUGCUUGUGAAGUAGACAAGCAGUGCUGGGGGUGGGGGCUGACAGUGUGCGUGUCUGUAGAGCGUGUGUGUGUGUUUGUCAGGAGACAGCGGCACACGCCUCGUUUUCCCACUUGAAGUCAGUUGGCCGUGAGCGACUUCUUUGGUAAUCUGAGGGUG
ensembl:snoRNA